CAACAUGUUCCCAAAAGCUGUGGCUGGUUGUAACCAUAGGCUCUCCAACUGAAUGCAAGAGCAAUCUGAGAGACUUUGACAACUCAGGUGAGCAUAAUACCUGCAUCUGCCACUCGCCUUUCCUAUAUCU